rnacentral:rRNA from 1 species
AUGAACGCUGGCGGCGUGCCUCAUCCCUGCCAGUCGAGCGAACGGACGAGAAGCUUGCUUCUCUGAUGUUAGCGGCGGACGGGUGAGUAACACGUGGAUAACCUACCUAUAAGACUGGGAUAACUUCGGGAAACCGUAGCUAAUACCGGAUAAUAUUUUGAACCGCAUGGUUCCAAAGUGAAAGACGGUCUUGCUGUCACUUAUAGAUGGAUCCGCGCUGCAUUAGCUAGUUGGUAAGGUAACGGCUUACCAAGGCAACGAUGCAUAGCCGACCUGAGAGGGUGAUCGGCCACACUGGAACUGAGACACGGUCCAGACUCCUACGGGAGGCAGCAGUAGGGAAUCUUCCGCAAUGGGCGAAAGCCUGACGGAGCAACGCCGCGUGAGUGAUGAAGGUCUUCGGAUCGUAAAACUCUGUUAUUAGGGAAGAACAUAUGUGUAAGUAACUGUGCACAUCUUGACGGUACCUAAUCAGAAAGCCACGGCUAACUACGUG